CACGUAGGGGGCUAGCGUUGUCCGGAUUUAUUGGGCGUAAAGAGCGUGUAGGCGGCCAGGUAGGUCCGGUGUGAAAACUCGAGGCUUAACCUCGAGAUGUCAUCGGAAACCAUCUGGCUAGAGUCCGGAAGAGGAAGGUGGAAUUCCUGGUGUAGCGGUGAAAUGCGCAGAUAUCGGGAGGAACACCGAUGGCGAAGGCGGUCAG
rnacentral:rRNA from 1 species